rnacentral:lncRNA from 10 species
CCGGGGACGCAGUUGUCCAUUUCCUUUGACCUUGGGGACCCAGGAAGGUGCACUGCCCGCGGGGGUGGGGAGGGAGCGAGAGGAAUCCGACCCUGUCUCAGCCCACAGCCUCCGAGGUCUCCAAGUAAAGGGAAGGAUCUUUAGCUGCAUUAGACUUCAAAGCGUUUAGACCAGUUUCUCCAUCUUACGGAGCGGUGAACGGGCUCAGGAAUGUGGAGCGUUUCCUGGCGUCAAGCAGGUCAAAGUCAGCGCUGCUUUUUUUACAGACACUGCUUUUCUUACAGUCUUCGGUUAGUUCAGAUUGUAUACCUCUCCUGAAGAUGUCACCCAAAACCUCCUAUGGGAUUCUGCCGUGAUCAUCUCUCCACUCAUCCCACACCAACGCCAAAGAGAUCUUUUAAAAUGAACUUCCAUCAGACUAUAAACUCUACAAGAAUAGGAAUCUUCGUAUUUUUUUCCUCUGCUGAAUUCCUAGUGCCCAGAU